ACAGUGUUAGCGGCGGCGGACGGUGGCGGCGGGAGGUUCGGUUGUCGCCCGUUGGCCGCGAGGCGCCGCGUUCGGCGGCCGCCAUUGCAGCUUUUCUUCAGUUUGCUUUUCUGAAAGAAAAAGCUGAUGGUGCAAAUUGUGAUUUCCAGUGCUGGGGCUGGAGGCUUGGCAGAAUGGGUGCUGAUGGAGCUACAGGGGGAGAUCGAGGCUCGCUACAGCACUGGAUUAGCUGGAAACCUCCUGGGAGACCUACAUUACACCACCGAGGGAAUUCCUGUGCUGAUUGUGGGGCAUCAUAUCCUAUAUGGGAAAAUUAUCCGAUUGGAGAAGCCAUUUGCUGUCCUGGUAAAAAGUGGUUCUGGGGAACAGGAAUGUGAUGAAAGUGGCAGACAGACAGCAACUCGGUACCUAGCAAAGGCGCUAAUAAAGAACAAGAUUCUCUUCAAAACCCGCCCGAAACCCAUUAUCACCAACGUUCCCAAGAAAGUAUGAAAGAGCCAAGGAUUUUUUCUAGAGAGCGGCCAACUCCCUGGACUCGUGCCCCAUUCCCACCCCGAGGACGGAUAGACGGUUCCCUUGGUUCACCGAUGGCUCCUGUUUUGAAUGCAGGCAACGCAAUGGGGGAGUGGAAGCCUUUCCGGCCCCGGCCCAACUUUUCCUAGACCAGGAGGCCCAUUGGCUGCAAUGUACUCAAAUGGAAUGCUGCCACCCUAGAGACCACCCCCUUUUCGCCUAGGCUACAUUGGCUGCAAGGCACCGUGGCUCUGGGGAAGAUGGAGAGAGCUGUGUCCUGAAGGCCACAGGGAGGCUUGACUUGAUGGCCAUUUCUUUCCACGGCUUAUUCCUCCAAUGAAGAUGGAGUCUUCGCUUGGCUUGUGAGACAAGAACUCUGGCAGGCAAGCUCAGCCCUAAGGAUGGGGAGAAAGACUCCCAGUGACCUGUAGCCUGUGGUGCUUUCUCACUGCUUUGUGCUGAGUUCCUUCUCUCUUUCUUACUCAUUUCUUGGAUUGUUCACCUGGACUUUUCCUCAGGGAUGCAUAGGCCUGCCGGUCCCAGCUCAUUCUGUACUACCAUCUUCCCUACCAGAGAAACCCAGGUAGCUGCUUUUGUUAAUUGUGUUCCAGUUCAAACAUUACUCAGUAACUCUGUAUAGAGCAGCUCUGACUGGAUAAUCCUUUUCAGUUCUAAGUAAAGCUUGUUUCUUUAUGCCACAAACUGGACAUUGGCCAUCUCUGGAAUUCACAGGAGGCCAGAGUUGUGAAGCAGCUUCUCACCUGCCCUUCUUGCUACUGUUACUCCCAAUCAAAGAACCUCAAGAUUUUGAAUUGAUGUUGGCUCUGGGACCUGGGGGUGGGGGUGGGGAUGGGAGGUAAAGGGGAGGGGGAGGGUAAUAAUCACUGUUUUUCAGCCUGGUAUGAAGGCAUUGUUGGUGUUUCAUUCUACAAUAUAUCAUUUCUUACUGUUUCUUUAAUAAAUGGGAUGGAGGUUGUUGAUUUUGAGCCCAUUUUGUUACCUGGCCUAGGGGGAAGGAACCUCACCCAUGAGUUUUAAUUGUUUUAGCUGAAGUUGGCCAUGAGCCUACAUUCUCUUCUGUGUAGCUUGUCUAGUUGCUUUUGGUGCAGGAAUAAGAAAGCUUAACUUUGUGUUCACAGCUGGAGCUUUCUUACUCAUCUGCCUGAUAAAUUCGUCAAGGAUUUUGACCCACAUUACAACCUGAUUAGGUCUCACUUGUACAUAACAUCUUUAAUAUUGUCCUGAGCUAAAUGCACAAUCACCUUUGGCAGUUUUGUCACUUAAAUUGACUGAGUUUCUGUUGGAAAUUAUCUGGGAAAGUGGUUGGAUGGCAAAUAAACUAGAGAGCAAUGGAAGUUGAAUUUUAGUUCUUGUUCACUUAAAGACUCAGCCAGUAUCAAGCAGAGUGAACCUUUUACGCUUGGGAAACUGCUUUGCAAGAGAUCACAGUCAUAAAUUGUAUAUUACAUGGCAUACCUGUGUCUUGUAGCCCCCUCUGUCAAUUUCCAGGUUUGGGGCUCCCUGGUAGACACCUAAGUUUUCACUUUGAAUAACAAGAGUAAUGAGAGCCUCUGAGAAACAACAAGACUGGUGUUCUAGUGUGCAAAUUUUUUUUUAUUUUGACAAAUACAUCAUAGUAUAAAAAUUUUGACCUUUCUGAAAAGUGAAAAAAAUGCAGGUAAAAAAUAAAUACAUUUACAAAUCAUUGUAGAAAUAAGUAAAUAUAAAAGAUCAGAAAAACCCUAAAUUCCUCAUUAAAAUGGGAUUUGAGAGAAAAACGAAAUGUUUUCAUUAAUAUAAAGUCUCUUCCCUUGCAUGAAAUAGGGAUAAAGCAGAAGAUGUUUUGUUUUGUGUGUUUUACAGAAAAUAUAAAAAAUAACUUAUAAAAACCA